rnacentral:rRNA from 1 species
CCCUGUUUAUCAAAAACAUGUCUUCUUGAUAUUAAUUUGAAGUCGUGCCUGCCCAAUGAGUAAUUGAAUGGCCGCGGUAUUUUGACCGUGCAAAGGUAGCAUAAUCACUAGUCUUUUAAUUGGGGGCUGGAAUGAAUGGUUUGACGAGACAAUAACUGUCUCGAUAUUAAUGGUUGAAUUUUACUUUUAAGUUAAAAGGCUUAAAUAGAGAUGGGGGACGAGAAGACCCUAUAGAUCUUUAUAUUGUAUUUAAAGUUGAAUUGUCAGUUGUUGUUUAUUUGACUUUAAUUUAUACUAUUUCGUUGGGGUGACGAGAGAAUAGAAAAACUUCUUUUUAUUUAACUAUGAUGAUUGGUUAAUUGAUCCUAUAUUAUGGAAUUAAGAUGAAGAUACCUUAGGGAUAACAGCGUAAUGCUAUUGGAGAGUUCAUAUCGAUAAUAGAGAUUGCGACCUCGAUGUUGGAUUAAGAUAAUAGUUAGGUGCAGUAGCUUAAUUGGUUGGUCUGUUCGACCAUUAAACUCUUACAUGAUCUGAGUUCAGACCGG